rnacentral:tRNA from 1 species
GGGGCUAUGGCUCAGCCAGGUAGAGCGACGGGCCCCAGACCCGUUGGUCGCCGGUUCAAAUCCGGCUAGCCCCA